UGAUAACAUAAGGGAAAAUAAUGAUAUUACCUUAUUAUUAGUGUCGUCCAAAACUGGUGCCAGAAGACUCGGUAAGGCCAGAGACAUAAACGUUAAUCGUCUUAAUCAGGCGUAAAGGGUUUGUAGGCGGCUUUAAAAUUUACUAACAAAGAAAUAAAAUAAUAAGUAAAGAAUAAAAGCUAGAAUCAAAUAGAGGAUAUAUGAAAGAAUGCUUAGAGUAGGUCUGAUAUCCUUAGAUACUAAGUAGAAUAUUAAAGGCGAAAGCUUUUUUCCAUUAAUGAUUGACGCUCAGAAACGAAGGUGAGGAUAGGAAAUAGGAUUAGAUACCCAGAAUACCCCUCUCUGUAAACGAUGAAUGGUAGUUAUUAGUACAAAUUUAUUAAUGGCAAUGUUAACACGAUAACCAUUCCGCCUUGUGAGUACAACUGCAAAGUUGAAAACAAAAAAAUUAGUCGGUUUCGGAGCAAACGAAGUGAAGCAUGUUAUUUAA
rnacentral:rRNA from 1 species